rnacentral:rRNA from 1 species
CAUUGGGACUGAGAUACGGCCCAGACUCCUACGGGAGGCAGCAGUGGGGAAUAUUGCACAAUGGGCGCAAGCCUGAUGCAGCGACGCCGCGUGAGGGAUGGAGGCCUUCGGGUUGUAAACCUCUUUUGUUAGGGAGCAAGGCACUUUGUGUUGAGUGUACCUUUCGAAUAAGCACCGGCUAACUACGUGCCAGCAGCCGCGGUAAUACGUAGGGUGCAAGCGUUAUCCGGAAUUAUUGGGCGUAAAGGGCUCGUAGGCGGUUCGUCGCGUCCGGUGUGAAAGUCCAUCGCUUAACGGUGG